rnacentral:rRNA from 1 species
CGUAGGGUGCAAGCGUUAAUCGGAAUUACUGGGCGUAAAGCGUGCGCAGGCGGCUUUGUAAGACAGGCGUGAAAUCCCCGGGCUCAACCUGGGAAUUGCGCUUGUGACUGCAAAGCUGGAGUGCGGCAGAGGGGGAUGGAAUUCCGCGUGUAGCAGUGAAAUGCGUAGAUAUGCGGAGGAACACCGAUGGCGAAGGCAAUCCCCUGGGCCUGCACUGACGCUCAUGCACGAAAGCGUGGGGAGCAAACAGGAUUAGAUACCCUGGUAGUCCACGCCCUAAACGAUGUCAACUGGUUGUUGGGUCUCUUCUGACUCAGUAACGAAGCUAACGCGUGAAGUUGACCGCCUGGGGAGUACGGCCGCAAGGUUG